rnacentral:tRNA from 1 species
ACCCUUCUAGUAUAAUGUAUAGGUGAUUUCCACUCACCCGGUCUCGGUUAAAACCGAGGAAGGGCA